GAUUGAACAGGUGACUGAACAGGUGAGGCCUAAUCAAAGAGACUGAGCUCUGCUCUGCCGCUGCAGCUACAAACCUGGGAGAAGAAAGCGGAGGGAAGACGCUGGGAAGCCCAGGAGAUUCCCGUUGGAACUGUGUCUAAAAGGACCACGAGAUAAAGAUGCUCAGGCAGCAAGGACAGGACGAGCAAGCAAAGCAACCGACUCCGACCGACGCUUCCAAAUCCGGCCACCAGAGGGAGUCGUAGGCACAGUUUUUGUCCAAACCCUGUGAAAUCACUCAAAAACGCUGAGGCUCAGAAUCUGAAGAUGGGGAAAAUCUCCAUGUACACAGCAGUUCAUAAAAUGGAAAAGAACAUAGUGGUGAUUUAAAAUAUUCUCCGGUAUUUACCUUACCUGUCCUGAGUCAUUAUCAUAGUACCGUUGGGCCGAGAGAUUUCAGGGAAAUCUGUCAGAUUUAGUCUUCUAAUGGUUCGUAGAGAGAAGGGCAGGGCUACCAACACUUAAUUUUAUUGCAGAUUCUUGCAAAGAAAGCAGCCAUUUUGGUGGUGGAGUUUCAUUUUUGUAACUGAGGUGCGGGACCGGGAUGGGAAGGGCCUGAGAAACAUUUGGGGUUCCCCCUUUUUCUAAGUCAUAUCCGGGGACAAUAUUAGAACGACUGGGGGAAAACAGAGAGCCCAGAGUUCCCUGUAAAAUGAGCUGUAAAAAUGCUGUCAAAGGAAUGGUGAGUGCACCUGCUGUAGAUAACAGCCUUAAACAUGUAUAUCUCAGUGCAAGGUUUGUAUCUGGAGCAAAAUGUUAAAG
rnacentral:lncRNA from 1 species